AUACACACCUUCAAGGUGAGAUAGCAAGAUCACAAAAGUGUUCAGGAUGGGGCUUAUCCAUUUGCAUUCUGGAUGGACUGACCACUGCAAUUUCCCUAAAUGUAGAAAAUUCAACUGCAUUAAUAGUGAUAGUGGGGGAAUGCAUUCAUUCUCUUCUUAU